UAGUCACUAGGGAAAACUGUCAGGAUUUAUUGUCUCUAAUUGCUGGUGUCUUCCCAAUCCUGAAUGUAGGCCAGUGAUGGACAGUGUCCAUGUACUUUGGGAUACACACAGAAAGGAGAAGCCUGUGUGUUGAAGGUCUAUGAGAUCUGCAAGGAUGGAAGAGCACGAAACCAGCAUGGAGAAUGUCUGGACCACAAGCAAUGGAAGCAGCAUUGCUCCCAGCAGGUGAGCAUCCAACGGAAAGAGGAAACCGGGGUAAUAUUGAGAAACCUGCAUUACAGUUGUGCUGUUUGCACAGUGAUGAUGACACACUCACCAUUCAAAGUUUUAUGAAUGGUGCGUGAUAACUUGAUUAUUUUGCUCAUGAAAGACAUCCAGUUUUCAAUGUUUUCUUAGUGAAUGUUUGACCAGCAAGUCAGUGACCUGUAAAGUAAAAUACCUUCCUCCAUGAACUUUUAGUGCACACAUAAAGGGGCCACAUGUGUACCGCUGAACCCUAUGACCCAGUGAUGCAGUUUUCUCAUUGAGCAAUAUGUCAAAUUUUGUACCCCCCAGGUGUGUCCAUCUCCUGAGCUGUAUGAGGGCUAUGAUGGUUCCCUGGGCCUGUGUGCUUGCAGAGGGCUGUCCAGGCCUGAGCCAGACAGGGUUGAGUGUGUUGGCUGGUGCCGGAGCAACCUGAGUCCAAUUCUGCAGCUGGUUUGCACUGGAAGCCUUUACCUGCUCUACACUGAGUCUAAUCAACAGGUGUGCAUGUCUAGAAGCAUGCUGGAGACCGUCCUCAAACACUGGGACUCCCGUGGGAGCUGAGAAUGCAAUGUGCAGCUCAACUUCGCCAGGCCUGUGUACACAGUUAAAACAGGGGGUGAGUAGCCAGAGACGAGGGCAGGAAGUAGAGAGGGUUUCAUGACCACGGUUUAUCAGCAGCCUGCUCUCUGUUUGCCAUUGUGCAGAGGCGGGCUUCUUUGGUCUGCUUAAUGCCGUCCCUGUGGAGGUCAGGAGGUUGAUUCUGGCCCACAGCCAGCAAACUAACAACUACUUUGAGCCCCUAGACAAAGACAGAGGAAACAUCAAAGACAAAGAGGAAGACUGGGACUCUCAUUGGUCCGGUAAAUCAUCAGCGUUUGGUACAUCCGACAUGAGGCCUAGAGGAGUCUUGAACCCAACAGCAUGUCUACAUCCGGGAGACAUUCUUCUUUUUACCGUGACCCAACAGCACUAUCCUCAGUAUGAUGUGUGAGUACAUGCUGACAUGUGAUUCAUCUGCAGCCCAUCCAUUUUCACUGUCCCAGACUGUCACAGAGGGAAUCCUGCUUUUUUCACAGAGACAGCUUGUAUAACACUAAUGAUGCAUUUGACUGGGGACCCUUCAGAUCACUGGCACAGGACCAAGAACUGGCACGAUCUACCCACUCCCUUUUUUCCAUAAGUCUCCAUGAGCCUGGGGUGUACGCCUUCAAACUCAGUAGCCACAAUUAUAGGCACAUGGUAUUAUGAUCCAUUUUCAUGUUAUGGCGGAUAACUGUUAAAUGUUAUUAAAAUUCUGUACUACUAAAUACUAAAUAAAUAAAAUACUAAAAACUCA
ensembl:lncRNA